rnacentral:rRNA from 1 species
UAAUUUGAUGAUCCGCAAAAAACCUUACCACAACUUGAAUAUUUACAAGCGUUGCACGGCUGUCUUAAGUUAAUGUCGUAAGAAUUUGGUUGAUUCCAUUUAAUUGACGUAAACCCUCGUUUUACUUUAAUGUAGAAUGGUUCACCGUUAUAUUGGAUAUGAUAAUAGGGAAGAAGACAAGUCAUCAUGGCCUGAAUGUUGU